rnacentral:lncRNA from 1 species
AAAAAAAAAAAAAAAUGUUGUUCGAUUGUUUGUAAGUUCUGUGAUGUACAUAAAUUUUCUUAUUACUUAGUAUGUUUUAUUAUAUAUGCAUAAGCUAACUAUUUCUUUUGUCGUUUCAUAUUCCUGAGUAUCCUGCAUGGUGAUUGGUCCGGGACUACAGCCCGAAAACUAAUCAGCUUAGAGAAAACAAGAAGCAUUUAAAGAGAAGAAUAGAUACAUAGUGAAAAUAAAUGAAACCUAAAAUUUUAGAUGACUCUGUGAAAAUUGACAGAAAUAGAAAAACUGUGUAAAAUAAUGUAUAUAGAACGAUAAGUUACAAAUCAGUGGAUUUAUUCGAGUCGGAAAAAAACAGCCAGCGAACCAAGAUGACAGACAACCAAGAACCAUUGAACUAUUAUUGCAAUUAAUUAUUAUCUCAUAUAAAAAUACAUCUUGUUCUACUAAGUAAUCAUAACUAAUUUUUAGGGACAAAAAUUUUGAAACAAAGGGGUAAUAUAAUGAUGCAAAAAUGCGUGAUAUUUAAAGAUAAUAUUUAUUAAUAAAUUACAAGUAAAGCAUUCGUGAAUAAUGGAAGAAUUACACAGAAGUUAAAGAGAAUAUUUGUCAUUUAAUUGUAAAAUUAAAUGACAGAAAAAUAAACGUAAAUAAAAUAAAUUAAAGAAAGUUUAAUUUGUUUAUAGAACAAUUUCCUAAAAAUAUAAAUGUAAAGUAUUUAAUCUUUUAAGCAUAUUUGAUAACGUUGUCUCAAAAAUGUCCCCCAGCUAAUUGAUAAAUGUGUCAGCUUCGAAGGCAUAAAGAUAAUUGUAUAUACUUUUAAAAUUAAUAGACUUGAACAAUUAAGAUUAAGUAAUUCUGCCUUUAACCGACAAAAAUCCAUUGUUUAUUAAAAGAGAUCAGAGAAAGCUAUUGUAAUGAGUAACAACAUAUUACGUGUCGAAUUAAGUCCAGUCUGCUAUAUAAAGUCGUGCAAAACUAUUUGGUUCACUAGACUGUGAACCAGAAUAAAAUGUAGUUAGCAGACUGGAUUGUCUUUUAAAGGUUAGUAAAAAUGUUAAAUUUGUUUAAUAGUUUAUCUUAUAAAUUUUAGCAGAAAAGAGUUUAAAGAAUUAAAAGAUGUUUUCUAGUAAAGUAAUUUUAAUCACAUUCACAAGUAAAAUCGUGGUACAGUUUAAAUAAAUAUGAGGCAAAGUUUGAGAUAAAAUUUAGGUAAAUGAUUUGUAUAAAAUAUUCUUAAUAUAUAAAAAAGAGAUUAACUUAUUCGUAUAGAUAACUUUUGAAAAUACAAUUCUUCAUUUGAUAUUUGAUUGAAUAUUAAAAGUAAACGAAAUAAGGGGAGAUAACAGAUUACACGACUGUUCAUUUAUGGCGCGUAUACUAUUGUCGGGUUUUGUAUUAUUG